rnacentral:rRNA from 1 species
UACGAAGGGGGCUAGCGUUGCUCGGAAUCACUGGGCGUAAAGCGCACGUAGGCGGCUUGCUAAGUCAGGGGUGAAAUCCUGGAGCUCAACUCCAGAACUGCCUUUGAUACUGGCGACCUUGAGUCCGGGAGAGGUGAGUGGAACUGCGAGUGUAGAGGUGAAAUUCGUAGAUAUUCGCAAGAACACCAGUGGCGAAGGCGGCUCACUGGCCCGGUACUGACGCUGAGGUGCGAAAGCGUGGGGAGCAAACGGG